CCUGUCUAACUAGCCUUCCCGUGAGAGUUUAUGAACAUGUAUCUCACCAGAAUGCUAGUUUGUAGAGG
rnacentral:pre_miRNA from 1 species